rnacentral:lncRNA from 1 species
GUUUAGAGUUAUGUAUUUGAGUUUAGGGUUUAUUGAUUAAGGUUUAGGGUUUAGUAUUAAGGGGUUGGGUGGGAUUUGGAUAAUGUUUAGUAUAUAUGGGUUAGAUUUGGGAUAAUGUUUAGUAUUAGAGUAUGUGAGUGAGGUUAGAAAUCUGUUUUAUUUCGGUGAUGUGGAAUAGAACAUUGAAACAUAUGUAUGUGGUCAUAAA